CCUACGGGAGGCAGCAGUGAGGAAUAUUGGUCAAUGGACGAGAGUCUGAACCAGCCAAGCAGCGUGAAGGAUGACUGCUCUAUGGUUUGUAAACUUCUUUUAUAUGGGAAUAAAAUGCUCUACGUGUGGGAUUUUGUCUGUAUCAUACGAAUAAGGAUCGGCUAACUCCGUGCCAGCAGCCGCGGUAAUACGGAGGAUCCGAGCGUUAUCCGGAUUUAUUGGGGUUAAAGGGCGCGUAGGUGGAUUGUUAAGUCAGUUGUGAAAGUUUGCGGCUCAACCGUAAAAUUGCAGUUGAAACUGUUAGUCUAGAGUACAGUAGAGGUAGGUGGAAUUGGUGGUGUAGCGGUGAAAUGCUUAGAGAUCACGAAGAACACCGAUUGCGAAGGCAGCUUACUAGACUGCAACUGACGCUGAGGCUCGAAAGUGUGGGUAUCAAACAGGAUUAGAUACCCGGGUAGUC
rnacentral:rRNA from 1 species